UGCAAAAGCCUGGAAAAGUAUUC
rnacentral:siRNA from 1 species